rnacentral:lncRNA from 1 species
AUGUGUCAGGGAAAGCAUUUAUCAAAGCCAACAAUCCCACAGUUUUAUUUCCUCCUUGUCAGAAGGAAACUGGGCCCUUGCUCAGCUCCCUUACAGGAGCCCUGGAUGCGCCAGCCCGGAUCGAACAUCCCGCCUCCAGCACUGCCGGCUCCGCCGCAGGACACCGACCUGCGCAGCGGCACCGCUGGCACGGCCGGGCCCCCAGCCCUGCGGGGACGCCAGGAGGCCGACGGCCCCUCAGCCUCCCUGACUGCGAGGUGCUGCAGCCGCGGAGCUCUCCGAGCUCGGGGCCAGGCCUGGCGCAGCGCUGCGGACGGAGCGGAGCGGGGCGGGGCGGACGGCCCCUCCCUGAGCCCCGCCGUGCGGCCCGGGGCUCCGCUGCCUCCCAGACCCCGAGCGCCGUCCGGCCGCCACGCGCGGCUCCGCUGUGGGGCACGGAGGGGUGCGGGAGGUGCGGGCCGGGCCCGGCCUGGCAGCGCGGAUGGGAGCUGCGGCUGGGGGACGCUAAAUGCUUCCCCUCGCUCCGUGCGAGGCGGCCGUGAGGGAAAAGGGGCCGAGAGGAGAUGGCCGGGGGAGCGGGCAGGUGGAGGACGGAGAGGAGCGGGACGGGCGGCAUCGGGGAUUCACUGCGCUUGUUCGCGUGUAAACAAGAGCUUCCUAUUGCCCCAUUAUCUGCUCGACAGAAACAGCGGGCUCUGGCCCCUGGCGGGAGCAGCGCAGACGCUCCGGAGCAGCUCCACCUCCGCGGGCCGCGCGGCUGGGACUGACCGAGGCACGAGGCCAAAGCAGCCGCAGCACGGCUCAGCCAAUCAGCUGCCGCCACCUCUUCACACCCACCAAUCUCGUCCCGCCCUACCUCACGGCGAGGCUAUAAAUCCCAGCGGUGUGAGGCGGGCCUGCACUGUGGCGGUUUGGGCGCAGAGUCACGGAAUGGCCGAGGCUGGAAGGGGCCUCAAGGAUCACGAAGCUCCAACCCCCCGCCGCAUGCGGGGCCACCAACCUCCGCGUUUAGUACCAGCCCAGGCUGCCCAGGGCUUCGUCCAGCCUGGCCUUGAACACCUCCAGGGAUGGACGGGGCAUCCACAGCCCCUCUAG